rnacentral:lncRNA from 1 species
UUGGCAGUGUUCCGACCUAUGGCUCGCAUCCCGAGAAGUGAGGUUUAAAGCCGAGCACGAAAACCCGAAAAAUCGGAUUUUUGGUUAGCUCUCGGGUUGCCUUCAGAGGGCUGUGUACCGGUACGGGAGUGAUGGCUGUACCGGUACAGCCAUCGACGUUGGCCGCUUCUCAGCCAACCCGAGGCUCGGGCUGGGCGUUUUCGCAGAAGGUGUACCGGUACGCUGGCCCGUGUACCGGUACGCAGUGCAGAUUCUGAGCAGUUUGAACUGCAGGGGGUUUUUCGCAAUUGUGGCCUUCUAUAUAGCCACCCACGCCCCUAGGGCUCUCCCUGAGCUUGGCACCAGCAAGGAGAAAGGUGAGGGAGCUCUCCAUACCUCCUCAUUCCUUUUCCUUGAUUUUUGCUUGGGUUUUUAGAGAUUAAUCACCUCUUUUGCUCCUUUUUGGGUUUUGGAGGCUAUUCCACCAUUGGAGCUUGGGUUUGGAGCUUGUUGGAGGAGAGAUUCUUGGACCUUGAGGGUUUUGAACCUUGUUGGAGGCUUCUAAGAGGUUGGUGGCUUAUUCUCUUCCUCUAGAUUUUGGUUUUAAUGCUUUGUAGUAGAUCAAACCCUAGAAAUGGAAAUUUAGGAUUUAUUUGGGCAUUUUGCAUCUAGGGCUUUUGGAGCUAGAUUGAUUGGAUUAGAACCUUCCUUGGGCUUGGAUUGGAAGGGUUCUAGCUCUCUUUUGAAGCCUAGGAGAGGAUUCUUACUCUUGAGGUGAGUUUUGACCCUUUCGCUAAAUGGUUAAUGUUUGAGCUUAGCGUCAUUCGUUUCGAUUGGGUGACACUUAUUUUCCCACCGUUAGGGUACUAGGAGUGUGGUGGACGCCUUCGUCGUGGCAAACGAGAGCUUUCAUUGACGUCGGUGGGUUUGACCUAGCCUAUCAUAUGAGAAAUUCUCAUAUUUGGUUAAAUAUGUUCCGCAAAUUGGAAAAGCAUGCAUAUUCAUAUUAAAUGUAUUUAUUGUGAAUUUUAGAAUGCUUAAAAGGCCUAUGUUACAUAUAAUGAAAUUUUGGACCUCUAUGUAGUAGAGAGUAGCUUGGUAGGCCUAUAGUUGCAUUUAGCAUUCUAUAUGAGAUGUGGUUUCAUGUUUCUAUAGUGUAAAUGAGUUUGGAUUCAUGCAUUUUAACCUAAGUUUACUUCAGACAUGAAAGUUGACAAAUUGCCAUAUAGGGCUAUUGUACUAGAAUGAAUGCGAUUUGGAGAGCUAAUGUCAUCAGGCGGCAUUGAGCUCGGGACAUAUGUGAACCUAGUGGUUAGAGCCAUUGAGGGAUUUGGUUUAUGUUGAACAUUAAAUAUCUAAGUGUCAUAAAGAGGCACUAGACCUUGAAAUUGUUGAAACGUCACAUUAUGACUUAAACUAGAUCUUCGGGAUGCUAGUGACUAUACCAUGUUAGAGACAUGAGGAUUGGAUACUUGAGACUUGGACUAUGCUUGCUUGCCAUUUGUGCUCAUUCGCACAUGCUUGUGAGGGUCGCUCCCUACAAGCCGGCACUCCGGAGUUAGCCUACGCGACUUUUGAUCGCUCGUGCGGUAUUGAGAAGCCUACGGGGUCGAGUGGGACAGACACAUUCCAAGAGUAGGGAUGUUGGGCUACCACAGGCACUUAGGCGGCACAAGCCGGACUACCUUUGGUAGGUCCUUAAUUGGAAAUGGAAAUGGAAAUCGACACAGUGUUGAGUUUAUUAUAAUCACUACUUAAUAGAGAAUAGUAGUUGGAUUACUUAGACUUACUUCUAGCAUAGUUUGGGGUACUUGGAUAUACAUACAUAUAUGUAGCAUGCUAGGAGAUGUUGCUUAUUGCAUUCAUAUAUAUACAUUGUUGCCAUGAUAAAGCAUGAUCUUCAUAAUCUCAUAAAGCAAAUAAUGAUUAUUACUUGUGGUUAUGUUGGGACGUACUUGUUCAUCAUAAAAUAGGUGUACAUCAUAUUUGACACAAUGUAACACCUCAGCAUUUCUAAUUAUGUUUUCAUAAAUGCAAUUUAUUCAUUACUAUUGCUCUUCUCUGUCUUACCCUUUUCUUUUGGGGCCUAGUGGUGCAUUGAGCUGAGGUCAGUAAUUGCCCACUGGGAACUAUAAAUUAUAGUUCUCACGCCCUGUGUUUUAUGUUUUCUUUCAGAGCCUUCCACGCCGGGAGAGGCUAGGGACCGUGGGAAGGGAGUUGCUUCGAGCUAGUUUCCUUCGAGGGCGAUUCGAUAGGUGGUCUAUCUCUCGUUAUUUUAUUUUGUGAGAGGUUGAGAGUUUUACCAGUGUAUUAGAGACCACCAUUUUUGUACUUUCGAGACUGAUAGUGUACUACUUAUGGUUUCUUUUAUCGUCUAGCUUUAUCUCUUUACUUUGGUGUAGAUGAUAGAACUUUACUCGCUCUGAUAUCAUUAGUUGCUAGUUAUUUUAUUUCUUUAUUUGUUCUAUCUCUUGCUUUACUUCGGCUUUUAUUGUAGACGCCUUAUAUGUGUAGACAUAUGGCGGGUCUGGGCACGCUACCGGGAGGGCCUCCGCCGGUCCCGGGGCGUGACACUGCGGGUUGUCCACACCCUCACGUUCGAAUCCAGAACGCCUUCA